GUGAAUCAUCGAAUCUUUGAACGCACAUUGCGCCCGUCAGUAUUCUGGCGGGCAUGCCUGUUCGAGCGUCAUUACGCCCCUCAAGUCCCCUGUGGACUUGGUGUUGGGGAUCGGCGAGGCUGGUUUUCCAGCACAGCCGUCCCUCAAAUUAAUUGGCGGUCUCGCCGUGGCCCUCCUCUGCGCAGUAGUAAAACACUCGCAACAGGAGCCCGGCGCGGUCCACUGCCGUAAAACCCCCCAACUUUUUAUAGUUGACCUCGAAUCAGGUAGGACUACCCGCUGAACUUAAGCAUAUCAAUAAGCGGAGGA
rnacentral:misc_RNA from 1 species